GGGUAAUGUGAUUUUACACAGUGGAAGGGGAGGCUCUCACACAUCCAGGACUGUGUAUAAGUGGACUGAGCAGACAAGUGUGAUCCAUCUUUAAAGUGAAACAACUGAACCUUUGACUGAAAAGGCUGAAUAUGGACCUGAGUUGAUCUUGACAAACACAGUGAGGAUGGGAAGAUGUCAUCCAGGGUGUUUCACCCUUUUAGGAAUCUCACACAGUGCAGUGCCUCGACACACACCAUCUUCUGGAUAACACACUUCCUCCUCAAGUGCAGUCCUCCCAGUUACAGACCAUCAGUUGUGCAAU